CAUUUAACAGUGAGGAAAACCUAUACCAUAUAGUCAGCUAUAAAAGACACCAAUAUAAAAAAAAUGUGAAAAAAUAAAAACGAGAAAACUAACGGUUAUUUAUUUAUAACUUAUGGAUUAUUUAUCAAAGAAAAAAAAAUAUGACAGAUCUAUAUAACCUAUGUUAUACAAGCCCAUGACGUAGGACCGACACGAAAAAAAUGCGGCGGGAUUAAACAUGUGAGCCCCUAACCCUCUCCUUAACCUGGGACACUGGUGUAACAGCACAACUUAUAAAAAAACUUAAAAAAAACCUGUACAGUUGCAAUUGGCUCAACUCAAAAUGUCGGUACAAGGCACAAAAACCAUAUACAUAAAAUAUCG
rnacentral:lncRNA from 1 species